rnacentral:lncRNA from 1 species
UUGUAAAGCAAAAUAUUGUCCUAUGAAAUAUUGUACCACAAGACAAUAUUUCAUAACUAUGUAUCAUGAAAUAUUGUCCUCGUCUAUGGAAAAAUGUCCAGAGAAGGACAAAUUUGCAUAGUGAAAUUGUGUCUGUAUAUAGACAAUAUUUCACAGAUGAAUACUAUGGAAUUUUGUCUUGUUAAAGGGAGGUUAUAUUUUGUGGGAAUUAAGACAAUAUUUCAUAGAUAAAUACUACGAAAUUGUGUCCUGUUAAAGGGAGGUUAUAUUUUGGUUAAAUUUCGUGAGUAUUGAGACAAUAUUUCAUAGACAGAUUGUCAUUAAAUUUUGUCUCAUGAAGGGGAGGUUAUCAACAUAUAUUCAUGUUAGAGAAGG